UCCAGACUCCUACGGGAGGCAGCAGUGGGGAAUAUUGCACAAUGGGGGAAACCCUGAUGCAGCGACGCCGCGUGAGUGAAGAAGUAAUUCGGUAUGUAAAGCUCUAUCAGCAGGGAAGAAAAUGACGGUACCUGACUAAGAAGCCCCGGCUAACUACGUGCCAGCAGCCGCGGUAAUACGUAGGGGGCAAGCGUUAUCCGGAUUUACUGGGUGUAAAGGGAGCGUAGACGGCAUGGCAAGUCAGAUGUGAAAGCCCGGGGCUCAACCCCGGGACUGCAUUUGAAACUGUCAGGCUGGAGUGCAGGAGAGGUAAGUGGAAUUCCUAGUGUAGCGGUGAAAUGCGUAGAUAUUAGGAGGAACACCAGUGGCGAAGGCGGCCUGCUGGACGACAACUGACGGUGAGGCGCGAAAGCGUGGGGAGCAAACAGGAUUAGAUACCCUAGUAAC
rnacentral:rRNA from 1 species